GAUGAACGCUAGCUACAGGCUUAACACAUGCAAGUCGAGGGGAAACGGCAUUGAGUGCUUGCACUCUUUGGACGUCGACCGGCGCACGGGUGAGUAACGCGUAUCCAACCUUCCCAUUACUGUGGGAUAACCUGCCGAAAGGCAGACUAAUACCGCAUAGUCUUCGAUGACGGCAUCAGAUUUGAAGUAAAGAUUUAUCGGUAAUGGAUGGGGAUGCGUCUGAUUAGCUUGUUGGCGGGGUAACGGCCCACCAAGGCUACGAUCAGUAGGGGUUCUGAGAGGAAGGUCCCCCACAUUGGAACUGAGACACGGUCCAAACUCCUACGGGAGGCAGCAGUGAGGAAUAUUGGGCAAUGGACGGAAGUCUGAACCAGCCAAGUAGCGUGCAGGAGGACGGCCCUAUGGGUUGUAAACUGCUUUUGUAUGGGGAUAAAGUUAGGGACGGGUCCCUAUUUGCAGGUACCAUACGAAUAAGGACCGGCUAAUUCCGUG
rnacentral:rRNA from 1 species